ACUAACUAGGAUUCCCUUAGUAGCGGCGAGCGAACAGGGAGAAGCCCAGCACUGAAUCCCGUGGCCGGAAACGGACACUGGGAAAUGUGGUGUUUGGGAGGAUCCGCAGUCCUGUGACUGUACAGUGUGUCCAAGUCUUUCUUGAACGGGGCCCCUUAUCCAUAGAGGGUGCCAGGCCCGUAGGACCACUGUCGGUUGCGGGAGGGUCUCUCCCUAGAGUCGGGUUGCUUGAGAGUGCAGCCCUAAGCAGGUGGUAAACUCCAUCUAAGGCUAAAUAUGACCACGAGACCGAUAGCGAACAAGUACCGUGAGGGAAAGUUGAAAAGAACUUUGAAGAGAGAGUUCAAGAGUACGUGAAACCGUUCAGGGGUAAACCUGAGAAGCCCGAAAGUUCGAAUGGGGAGAUUCAUGCGUGAUAACGCACUGCGCCAGCUUAUCGGUUGAAUAAGAUUGUGUGUGACGGGACGUUUGUCCUGGUCGCUUUGCCGCAAGGCGGGCGGCUCAGGGGCGUUCGCUCCGGCCGAUUUGACGGUGGCGCGUGAACGCGUGCACUUCUCCACCAGUAGUAGAAUGUCGCUACUCGUUGGGUGUCGGUCUACGGCCCGGUGUGGAGCCCGUGUGGCGCGUGCACUUGUGUGCGCGCUCUCAUGGACCACCGGUGUUCUUCCCGACCGACUUGCCCGACGGUAUUUGGCGCGGAGCCGCGUAUAAUCGCGUUCGGCCUGCCGCAAGCNNNNNNNNNNNNNNNNNNNNCGGAACCUGUGUAGCCGGAUCUGUGUCCGUGUCUGGCUGUUGGCGGCGGUGUUCUCGAACCGACUGUCGCCAGUUGCGAUGCUAAUGCUUUGGGUACUUUCAGGGCCCGUCUUGAAACACGGACCAAGGAGUCUAGCAUGUGCGCGAGUCAUUGGGCCAAACACAAUGAUGUUAGCGAAACCUAAAGGCGAAAUGAAAGUGAAUGCGUGUGCGUGCGUGUGGCGAGUUCCGCUUGCGGUUCGCGUCCGCGUCGCACAUUAGAGGGAGGAUGAGUGAAGCUUAGGCUCGGCUCCGCACUCCCGGGGCGUCUCAAAUUGUCUCAUUGCGAGACGAGGCGCACCUAGAGCGUACACGCUGGGACCCGAAAGAUGGUGAACUAUGCCUGGUCAGGACGAAGUCAGGGGAAACCCUGAUGGAGGUCCGUAGCGAUUCUGACGUGCAAAUCGAUCGUCGGAACUGGGUAUAGCGGCGAAAGACUAAUCGAACCAUCUAGUAGCUGGUUCCCUCCGAAGUUUCCCUCAGGAUAGCUGGCGCUCGUCCGUCUAACGAGUUUCAUCCGGUAAAGCGAAUGAUUAGAGGCAUUGGGGUCGAAACGGCCUCAACCUAUUCUCAAACUUUAAAUGGGUGAGAACCGCGGCUUGCUUAGUGUGAAGCCGUGAGUGUAAUUGCCGGUGCGGCGUUGUCGUCGCCGGCAAAAUGAAUCAAUG
rnacentral:rRNA from 1 species